rnacentral:lncRNA from 1 species
UCUGUACAGAGGACAAACUAGAAGCUGCUCAGAGUUGCCCCCGGAGCCCAGCUGGAGAGCUUUAUGCGAACACAAUGGCAGGUAGAACAGUGUUUCCCAAGCCCAGGGACACAGCAGUGUGACACCUGAUGCAAAUGGAACAGAAGGCAAGAAUAUUGGCAUUCAUAUUGGCAUUUCACAUGGAAAGGUGAACUAUUUCUCAACCCACUGUUGAUCAGAAAGCACGACUGUGGCUCAUGUAAGCAGAAUGCAUCAGUUUUCCUACCUAAGUCCUCAUCAG